rnacentral:rRNA from 1 species
GAUGAACGCUGGCGGCGUGCCUAAUACAUGCGAGUCGAGCGAACGGACGAGAAGCUUGCUUCUCUGAUGUUAGCGGCGGACGGGUGAGUAACACGUGGAUAACCUACCUAUAAGACUGGGAUAACUUCGGGAAACCGGAGCUAAUACCGGAUAAUAUUUUGAACCGCAUGGUUCAAAAGUGAAAGACGGUCUUGCUGUCACUUAUAGAUGGAUCCGCGCUGCAUUAGCUAGUUGGUAAGGUAACGGCUUACCAAGGCAACGAUGCAUAGCCGACCUGAGAGGGUGAUCGGCCACACUGGAACUGAGACACGGUCCAGACUCCUACGGGAGGCAGCAGUAGGGAAUCUUCCGCAAUGGGCGAAAGCCUGACGGAGCAACGCCGCGUGAGUGAUGAGGGUCUUCGGAUCGUAAAACUCUGUUAUUAGGGAAGAACAUAUGUGUAAGUAACUGUGCACAUCUUGACGGUACCUAAUCAGAAAGCCACGGCUAACUACGUG